UCGACGAAGUAGCAAUACUUAGUGGCAGACGGGUGAGUAACAUGUAGGUAUCUGCCCUUUGGCCUGGAAUAACACGAGGAAACUUGUGCUAAUACCGGAUAAGUCUUUACGGAGAAAGCUUUAUGCACCAUUGGAUGAGCCUGCACUUGAUUAGUUUGUUGGUGGGGUAAUGGCCUACCAAGACUGUGAUCAAUAGCUGAUUUGAGAGGAUGAUCAGCCACAUUGGGACUGAGACACGGCCCAAACUCCUACGGGAGGCAGCAGUGGGGAAUCUUGCACAAUGGAGGAAACUCUGAUGCAGCGAUGCCGCGUGAGUGAAGAAGGCCCUUGGGUUGUAAAGCUCUUUCGUCGGGGAAGAAAAUGACUGUACCCGAAUAAGAAGGUCCGGCUAACUUCGUGCCAGCAGCCGCGGUAAUACGAAGGGACCUAGCGUAGUUCGGAAUUACUGGGCUUAAAGAGCUCGUAGGUGGUUAGAAAAGUUGGUGGUGAAAUCCCAAGGCUUAACCUUGGAACUGCUAUCAAAACUUUUUAACUAGAGUAUGAUAGAGGAAAGUGGAAUUUCUAGUGUAGAGGUGAAAUUCGUAGAUAUUAGAAAGAACACCAAUUGCGAAGGCAACUUUCUGGAUCAUUACUGACACUGAGGAGCGAAAGCAUGGGUAGCGAAGAGGAUUAGAUACCCUCGUAGUCCAUGCCGUAAACGAUGUGUGCUAGACGUUGGAAAUAUAUUUUUCAGUGUCGCAGCGAAAGCAUUAAGCACACCGCCUGGGGAGUACGACCGCAAGGUUAA
rnacentral:rRNA from 1 species